GACGAACGCUGGCGGCGUGCCUAAUACAUGCAAGUAGAACGCUGAAGCGAGGAGCUUGCUCUUCUUGGAUGAGUUGCGAACGGGUGAGUAACGCGUAGGUAACCUGCCUUGUAGCGGGGGAUAACUAUUGGAAACGAUAGCUAAUACCGCAUAACAAUGGAUGACACAUGUCAUUUAUUUGAAAGGGGCAAUUGUUCCACUACAAGAUGGACCUGCGUUGUAUUAGCUAGUAGGUGAGGUAAUGGCUCACCUAGGCGACGAUACAUAGCCGACCUGGGAGGGUGAUCGGCCACACUGGGACUGAGACACGGCCCAGACUCCUACGGGAGGCAGCAGUAGGGAAUCUUCGGCAAUGGGGGCAACCCUGACCGAGCAACGCCGCGUGAGUGAAGAAGGUUUUCGGAUCGUAAAGCUCUGUUGUAAGUCAAGAACGGGUGUGAGAGUGGAAAGUUCACACUGUGACGUUAGCUUACCAGAAAGGGACGGCUAACUACGUG
rnacentral:rRNA from 1 species